UUGUGCCUAGAACAAAGGCGCAUAGACACAUAAAGUGCUAGGGUUGGAGCCUGGUGAUCCUUGAGCCUUAGAGCCUUGAGCCUCAGGCGCGCCUUUAAUAACUAUGGGCUAGAUGUGGACAAAUUAGUACCUUUUCAGCAUUUGCAAUAUCACUCCAGUUCUGAUAUAAUUCUAUUUUGUGUUAUGAUCUUAUUUAGAUCAACUGCGUCAAAAUUUUCUUAUAUUGCAAUGGCUUUAUCCAUGUCUGUGCAUAUCUUUUGCAGGAAAGUGAAAG
rnacentral:misc_RNA from 1 species